ACUUGUUGUUUUGAUGCAAUUACAAGUCCAGGCCAUCAAAUUUCUCAUCUCUUGAAUUACUUGAGUGUAGUUAUGGCAUCAAUCAAGGCCGAGAAACCUGUUGGCACUCAAUCAGCCUCCACCAAGAAAGAGCCUGUUAAGGCUAGUACUAGCACUCCCAAGGUUCCCGCCUCCAAGCCUGCCCCUAAAAAGGCCGAGCAAAAACCCCGGGAGCCGAAGAAGAAGGCAUCAGGAGGGAAGGCAGGAGCUAAGAAUUAAAUAGACUGAGGAGGGGUAGAGCUUUGGUGUAAUAUGUGAAGAUCUCAUGAAGCUCAAACUUCUUGAAAGUUAGCUUUGUUUUACCAAAUAUUAUGAAAGCUCUUGCCUCCAAUUUAUAUCCAUGUAUCUUUUCCUAGGCGUGGCCUAAUAAAUAAAGACUUAAAUACUUACUAAAUC